UACGUAGGGUGCGAGCGUUAAUCGGAAUUACUGGGCGUAAAGAGUGCGUAGGCGGUCCCGCAAGUCCGCUGUGAAAGCCCCGGGCUUAACCUGGGAAUGGCAUUCAGGACUGCGAGGCUUUGAGUGUGGCAGAGGGAGGUGGGAAUUCCACGUGUAGCAGUGAAAUGACGUAGAGAUGUGGAGGAACACCGAUGGCGAAGGCAGCCUCCUGGGCCAGCACUGACGCUCAUGCACGAAAGCGUGGGGAGCAAACAGG
rnacentral:rRNA from 1 species